rnacentral:ncRNA from 2 species
UCCCCCAGGUGUGAUUCUGAUUUGU